UAAUAGAGAACAUAGUCAAACACAAAAACAGCAUUUAGGAUUUAGAACAAAUCAACAGACAAGGACUAAAAAUAAUGGCUUUAAUUAAUAACCGUAUUUCUGUAAAACAGGUCUCUGAAACGUAUUAAACUCGUUUUGAGAUCUGUUAUGAGAUAUAAAACAACACAGUUCAUGAACCAUCAGUAAAAAAAUCAACACCUAAUUAUGCAAUAAUACAGAACUGAAAUCUUAAGUAUAUAGCAUGCAUAAGUAUUUCACAUUUGAGACAUAAAUAAUAUCAUACAAAGAUUAAAAACUUUCUAUAGCCUAACUUUUCUUUUAAUGAGUUAUCUUUGUACUCCAGUUUAACACAAAAAGCUAAAUAUUGACGAAAACAAUAUUAACUAAACCCUGAUAAAUUGUUCGUUGAUAUGCAAUAGUGCAUAUGGCUUAUUAUAAUAAUUUAUCAAGUAUUAAGAGCGUUCCUCAUAUUUCUUACAAGAGAGAAGAUGCUGCUUUGACAUGCUCUGGACUCCUCGCAUCUGCUGGAGAUGUUGAGCCUCAUAGUUAAUUACAGUUGUAAGAUUUGUUUUUUUAUUAUUAUUAUUAUUAUUAUUGUAGUAGAGCUAGUUGGAUUGGCGGGGGAACGGAAGUAGUUUGUGCAUGCUAAUGAAGGAGUCGGGGUUGUGGAUAUUUACGUUCAACGGGAGCCGCCCUUCAUUCACCACAUGGUUAAAAGCAACGCGCGCUCGCGGCACUUUCGCAAUCUUACUACGGUUUUGUAACGCGACCCAAAGCGUGCUCGGAUGCUGCGUUUCCACCGUCGGCGCUACAAGUUUACGUUACCGUGUAGUUUCGACGUUUUCCCCGGAGCGUUGACAGUAAACGAAGAACCAUCGACCACCUCACCUUACACCAGGUGGCACGAAACGAUGUGGUCCGCCACUAACCCCAUCCCAAAAGUGGAUCUUCUUGGUUCCUCUUGGCCGUGAGCUCGUCGACUCCAUGUCAGUGUAGUGCCAAAGUGCUUACAGUGCAGGUAGUUCUGUCAAAUCUACUGCAGUGGAGGCACUUCAAGCUCUACUUUGACAUGUACACACACAAGCGGCGUCGUGAACUACUGCUUGUGCUAAGGUGCAUUUAGUGCAGAUAGUGAAAUAGACUAGCACCUACUGCCCUAAGUGCCCCUUCUGGCAUAAGGGGCUGGCAAAUCCCGCUGUUCCCCAUUGGCUGUCCCCUAUUCUCUCAUUUCAUGCAGUUCUCUGCUAGUUUUGCAUAGUUGCACUACAAGAAAUAUUGAGUUGUGCAAAUCUAUGCAAAACUGAUGGUGGCCUGCUUCCCCAUCCUUCCCUGUGCUUCUCGCUUUGACUGUUUCUGCUUAAGCGUGCAUGUGCGUGUGUGUUUCAGGUUAACACUCACUCUGGUUCCAGCAGUAUUAAAGUGCUUAUAGUGCAGGUAGUUCAGUAAAAUGCCUAUCUACUGCAAUGUGAGCACUUCAAGUACUUCUAGAUGCGAGCGUCGAGGAGAGAGCUUGAUCUUCGUGUUUUACUGUGCACACUGUCCUGGUUAGUUUUGCUGGUUUGCAGUCAGCGUUCGUAUCGUUGCUGUGCAAAUCCAUGCAAAACUGAUCGUAACAGUGAGGAGUCUCCUCUUCCAUCACACUCCUGCUUCCCUGUCUUUGCAGGUUGGGAUCAGCCGCAAUGCUCUGCGCUGGAAGUAUUGCACUUGUCCCGGCCUGUGAAGAGCAUGGGAAAUUAUCCAGCUGCUUUUUUCAAUAAAAUUGUAACAUUUUAUAUAAAAAAAAUUCUUCCCUUCCGGUCUUGUUAUAAUUUGACCGUCACAAUAAAAGUUUUACAUGC